GACGAACGCUGGCGGCGUGCUUAACACAUGCAAGUCGAACGAAGUGGCGAACGGGUGAGUAACGCGUAAUCAACCUGCCCUUCAGAGGGGGACAACAGUUGGAAACGACUGCUAAUACCGCAUACGGAAGGAGGGGAUUGCGUCUGAUUAGCUAGUUGGAGGGGUAACGGCCCACCAAGGCGAUGAUCAGUAGCCCGUCUGGGAGGAUGGACGGCCACCAUGGGACCGGGAAACGGGCCAGACUCCUAAGGGAGGGAGCAGUGGGGAAUCUUCCGCCAUGGACGGAAGGCCGACGAGGCAACGCCGCGUGAGUGAUGACGGCCUUCGGGUUGGAAAGCUCUGUUAAUCGGGACGCGGUACCGGAAUAGAAAGCCACGGCUAACUACGUGCCAGCCGCCGCGGUAAUUC
rnacentral:rRNA from 1 species